rnacentral:rRNA from 1 species
GAUGAACGCUAGCGGCAGGCCUAAUACAUGCAAGUCGAACGAGAUUAAGGAGCUUGCUCCUUAUGAAAGUGGCGCACGGGUGCGUAACGCGUAUGCAACCUACCUUAAUCAGGGGGAUAGCCCGAAGAAAUUCGGAUUAGCACCGCAUAAAAACACAGGAUAGCAUUAUCCAAUGUUCAAAUGUUUAUAGGAUUAAGAUGGGCGUGCGUGUCAUUAGCUAGUUGGCGGGGUAACGGCCCACCAAGGCGACGAUGACUAGGGGAUCUGAGAGGAUGACCCCCAACACUGGAACUGAGACAGGGACCAGACUCCUACGGGAGGCAGCAGUAAGGAAUAUUGGUCAAUGGAGGCAACUCUGAACCAGCCAUGCCGGGUGCAGGAAGACUGCCCUAUGGGUUGUAAACUGCUUUUAUCCGGGAAUAAACCUAAUUACGUGUAAUUAGCUGAAUGUACCGGAAGAAUAAGGAUCGGCUAACUCCGUGCCAGCAGCCGCCGUAAAAC